rnacentral:rRNA from 1 species
CGCGUAGGCGGUCAGACAAGUCAGAUGUGAAAUCUCUCGGCUCAACCGGGAAAUUGCAUUUGAAACUGUCAGACUUGAGUUCGGUAGAGGAGGGCGGAAUUCCAGGUGUAGCGGUGAAAUGCGUAGAUAUCUGGAGGAACACCCGUGGCGAAGGCGGCUCUCUGGUCCGAUACUGACGCUGAAGUGCGAAAGCUAGGGGAGCAAACAGGAUUAGAUACCCUGGUAGUCC